rnacentral:rRNA from 1 species
GGCGAACGCUGGCGGCGUGCUUAACACAUGCAAGUCGAACGAAGUGGCGAACGGGUGAGUAACGCGUAAUCAACUUGCCCUUCAGCGGGGGACAACAGUUGGAAACGACUGCUAAUACCGCAUACUGAAGGAGGGGAUUGCGUUGGAUUAGCUAGUUGGAGGGGUAAUGAGUGCCCUAGGCGACGAUCCCUAGCUGGGCGGAGAGGAUGACCAGCCACACUGGAACUGAGACACGGUCCAGACUCCUACGGGAGGCAGCAGGGGGGAAUCUUCCGCAAUGGACGAAAGUCUGACGGAGCAACGCCGCGUGAGUGAUGACGGCCUUCGAGUUGUAAAGCUCUGUUAAUCGGGACGCGGUACCGGAAUAGAAAGCCACGGCUAACUACGUGCCAGCCGCCGCGGUAAUUC